GACUAUUGCCUCCCCUUGAAAGGAGGUGAGUUCGUUGAAGGAUUUUCUAACUUUAGUUGUAGCUCCAAUUCUUGUGGGAAUGGUGAAAUCACUAUUCGAUCACUGGCUGGAUGAUCGGCGUAACAACAAAAAACAUAAAUAGUCGCAUUUCCACCCUCAACGUUUGAUAGGUUGCGUCAAGCGAUAAA
rnacentral:ncRNA from 1 species